GACGAACGCUGGCGGCGUGCCUAACACAUGCAAGUCGAGCGAAGUAAGUAUGAGUGAAGUUUUCGGACUAAACGAUUACUUAUCUUAGCGGCGGACGGGUGAGUAACGCGUGAGAAACCUGCCUUUCACAAAGGGAUAGCCUCGGGAAACUGGGAUUAAUACCUUAUGAUACUUCAUUACCACAUGGUAGAGAAGUCAAAGCGUAAAGCGGUGAAAGAUGGUCUCGCGUCCCAUUAGUUAGUUGGUGAGGUAACGGCUCACCAAGACUGCGAUGGGUAGCCGGCCUGAGAGGGUGAACGGCCACACUGGAACUGAGACACGGUCCAGACUCCUACGGGAGGCAG
rnacentral:rRNA from 1 species